AUUGAACGCCGGCGGCAGGCUUAACACAUGCAAGUCGAGCGUGAAAGGGCUUCGGCCUGAGUAAAGCGGCGGACGGGUGAGUAACGCGUAGGAAUCUACCUGGUAGUGGGGGAUAACGUUCCGAAAGGAACGCUAAUACCGCAUACGUUCUGAGGAAGAAAGCAGGGGACCGCAAGGCCUUGUGCUAUCAGAUGAGCCUGCGUCCGAUUAGCUAGUUGGUGGGGUAAAGGCCUACCAAGGCGACGAUCGGUAACUGGUCUGAGAGGAUGAUCAGUCACACUGGAACUGAGACACGGUCCAGACUCCUACGGGAGGCAGCAGUGGGGAAUAUUGGACAAUGGGGGCAACCCUGAUCCAGCCAUGCCGCGUGUGUGAAGAAGGCC
rnacentral:rRNA from 1 species